UCUCUCUGAAUCUGCGAACGGCUCCGCAAACCAGUUGUAAACCAUAGCAAGCAUGCUCCAGGGAAGCCGCAAGGCCGAUCUGGGGCUACAAGGAUAACCCCGGUAAUUCUGAGGCUAAUACAUGAACGUAACCCCUGGUCGAUGGGCAACCUGAGGCUGGGGAUCGUGCGAGGUCUCGCAAAAAAUUUAUCGGAAUAUUCGCACAGUAAGACCGUCAUACCAAACAGUCCUUCUUCACCGGCCCUUGCGGGUUGGCGGGGUCGUUCUGGGCGGCUCUUGCAAGGUGCUUCUGACCUAUCAACUAGAUGGCAGCGUAAGGGACAUGCUAUGGUGACAACGGGUACAGAGGAUAAGGGUUCGAUCCUGGAGAGUGGGCCUGAGAGAUU
rnacentral:rRNA from 1 species